GGCUCGGAACCAGCACAGUCGGUAGAGCAUGAGACUCUUAAUCUCAAGGUUGUGAGUUCGAGCCCCAUAUUGGGCCA